GGGGAGGACACGUGACGCAGGGAAGGAGGAAUCAGGAAAGGGCUUACAUUGAACCAAUAGGAAAAAGGGUAACAGGGUUACAGUGUAGGGUACGACACAUUUUUAUAAGGAAAUAUAUUAUACUAAUAAUAAAAUAAUUGCACAACGGAGUAAAGGCACGGUGAAACAAACACUCUCACAGUUCCGACAACCGCGCUCAGCGCGCCACGGGAUGUUCAAAUACCACAGCCCUGACAACACAAGCCAACAAACAGAGGAAAACAUGCUGCUGUGUUUCCCCUUCUUUGAGAUAGCCAAGAAAGCUGAGGAUUUGGAACUGACCUGCAAUACAGACAAGUUCUUAUUUUAAACAAACUGUUUUAUAAUUUUAAAUAUAAUAUAUAAAAACACAUCCUUGUUUUCACUUACCUUUUCAAAGACUGGAAAGUAUCUGUUAGUUGCCCUCUCCUUAAUUGAGUCAAGAUUUUUCUCCUUUGCAUCAGGUGGAGAGAAAGGAAACAUCAAAAUCAUUUGCAUCAGAUCUGAUAUUCCUUCCACAUACAUGUCAAUCCUAUUGAUCAGGAGAAGACAGUAGAAAAGAGCACAGAAGUUAUUUUUUCUGUUUUCCAAUUAACUAAGGCAACUUGGAGGAAUUUUAUACCACCAAUAUAGUGGCAAUUUUCACAGCCAAAACUAAACACAAACUAAACCUAAAUGUUUUUCAAAAAUAAUAAAACCCUGAUUCUGUUUAGGAGCAUUUCAGAAGCAGUUGUUAAAACUUAUUGUGUUAGCUUUUCUCAUACCUUUAUACCAGAUUUACAGGAUAGAAUUUGGUUUAUAUAAUGUAGCUAUCAAAUAACAGAUUGCUCAUUAAGGGAAAGGCAGUGUUACAUACAGGGCUCUCUCCUUCAAGUCUUUCCCAUAGAGAUUGUAUUUCCCUGCUAUGUAGCUGAGGAUGGCUCUGGUCUGCACCAUCUUCAUCCCAUCGAUCUCAACCAGGGGCACUUGCUGGAACAGCAGGACUCCAUCUAGGGUAGAGAGUUAGCCUGUUAGUUUCUCCUAGAUUGCAAGCAGGACAGGAGAGCAAGAGACUGAGCACAUUUAUCUUGCGGUGUAGGAGACCACUGAUGUCUUGUCCUAACUGUAAAACUUCAUGCAGUAAACUAACAUUGUGGGAAAGAUCAAAUAGCCUGUAUCACACUUCUGUAGCUAGGUCAUUGCACUGCAGCUGGGCCCUGGCUUUACAGCCUUACCAGAGCUUCACUGACUGCUGGCAGCUGGCAGUGCCUGCUCCUUUGCACUUCUGGACCCUGCCUCAUGCUGGCAGAAAAAGCCUGAACCAGCAUUUUCAGCCAAGGAAUAAGAGGAGAAUAAAGAUAUAUGUUAAAUCUGAAUUUUAAAAAAGUCUGGUGCAACCUGUGUAGCCAUAGGUUGCCCAGGUUGCAUAGAAUAUAUAUAUGCAGGAUUAAAAGCAGUUUACCAGUAAUUUCAGGGGUUGGACUGGCAAAUUAAAUUCCGAUCUACUUAAUACCACUUUUUUAUUUUUGUUCAUUUUAACUCUACUGUCAGAAUUUCUUUAAACACAGCUAAUCCUUUCUGAGCUCAGCCUGAAUGCCAUCAAGUCCUCUUUCGAGUCUCCUGGUAUGUCUUGGCAAGCUCAGCCUGCUGUGAGGUUUCUCUCACGUGUCUUGGGCAGCAGGUAAACUGUGGGGCACGUGCAUUCUGUGAUGCUCCUCACAGUCUCAACUCCUUCCCCACCUUGGCAGCAAGGUCCUCUUCCAGGGUGGCUGUGGUGGGGUUCACUGCUGGAUUUCAUCUUAGCAGAUAUCAAGGGCAGUGGCUGGGGGUUAUGCACUGGUGUUUAGGAACUGAUCUCAUCUCUCCCAAGGCUGACACGAAGUCUUUGCUGCUUUGACCAUGUCAGGCUUUCCACAGGUCUCUCUGCUGGCUCCAUGUUUUUAUCUAGGGGAAGCUUCAUAUCUGAGGCUUAUUCUGCUUAGAACUGUCACUAGGGUGUUCACACAGAGCCUCAGAAACAGAAACUCGUUUUCUUGGAGAUUUUGGGGCCAUGUCAGCCUUUCAUUUAGAGGCUUAUCUAACUGCAUUCAGAAUCAACACAGAGGUAAAUCUGUACCCAUCAACUCCACAACACCUCAGGCCAGCUGGCUGGCCACAUUCACUCUACUUCACCCUCUCUGCCUAUAGAGUAUGAUGGUUACCUCUGAAUGACAUCUUGGAAAUGGCCCUUGGUCUGAGACAACUCCCAAAUGAUGCCUAGGAAUUGCUUAGCAACUGUUAUUUGCCAUGGACCAAAAAUGUGCCAGGAACCAUGCUAACAGUUCAACAGCAUAGAUAAUUAAGAUGUAUUAAAUAGAAGUGUUUGCCUGUUUAAUGUUCUGCAAUAAAGACAGUCACAGAAGCUAUGGCUUUUAGCUUAUAGGAAUUAUAUUAUAUGGCACUGGAAAUAACAGGUUAUUCAAAACUAGUAUUGCAGUACUCAAGGUGUGCACCUAGAAGUUUGCAUUCAUUUAAAUAAACUAUUUUUAAACCACAAAUUUAGCUAAAUUGGAGAAAUAUUUUCAGGGACUAAAACUCAGGUCUUGGGAUUCUUACCUUUGAUUAACUUGUCAUAUUGUUCUUUUGUUUGCAAAAAAACCUCUUCAAACUAAAAAGGAGAGAGAAUAGUGUUACACUGCUGUAUUUGAACACUCUUCUUCUCUAAGUGACUGCACAUAACCAUGCACAGAACACGGAGUCAAGUAAAAUGUAAUGGGCCAGAUCUUCAGCUGCUCUGUUUGAGCCCAGAUGUCCUGAGGAUCCCACACACACCCUGACAGCUGAUGGGGAGCAGAAGGGCCUGGCCACUUCUGCAUCAGGGCACUGAUUCAGAAAUAACCUAAAUGCAGGUAGAAACAGAGAGCAGGCAUCUACAGGAACAAGACAGGUUGGAGCCAAUGCCAAGGAAAACACAAGGUAAAUCAAAUAUUUCUAACCCCACCCCAGUCAACAACACUCUUCUAUUAGACACACUGCAACUGCAAAUUAACAAGACUGAGUUAAGGUGGUUUUGCAUGGCUAGAAAAAUCAGAUUAAGCAUAAUGGGUCAAAAUGGGGCUUUAUUUAAAGGCCCUUCAGUAGUUUCUUAAGAGUAUUGAUACUAGCCCUAAUAAACUCUAAGCUCAGCUGAGUUUGCAUCCCAAGUAUUAACCACCAAACAAAGUAGUUACAAAAAUGCAGUCCCACUGGCCAAAUGAAUUUCACCACCCUCAUGGAGCUGUUUAUCCUCCCCAUCCAUGUUAAAUUGUUCCUCAGUGAAGCCAGCUGAGAACACCAGUCUUUAACACUGUACCAAAUGCAAACCCACCUCCACGCCGGCUGCAGCCAACAGCCAUCGUAUGGGCUCCAUCCGCCCCCUUCCAUUCAAGUAGGUAAGCCUGGGCUUCCCCGACAUGCUGCUGUGCUCCU